GCCGAAAUAGCUCAGUUGGGAGAGCGUCAGACUGAAGAUCUGGAGGUCCCUGGUUCAAUCCGGAGAGUUUGUA
rfam:Nematostella vectensis strain CH2 x CH6 NEMVEscaffold_796_Cont33001, whole genome shotgun sequence.